UACGGAGGGGGCUAGCGUUGUUCGGAAUUACUGGGCGUAAAGCGCGCGUAGGCGGACCUGCAAGUCGGGGGUGAAAGCCCGAGGCUCAACCUCGGAACUGCCUUCGAUACUGCGGGUCUCGAGUCCGGGAGAGGUGAGUGGAAUUCCUAGUGUAGAGGUGAAAUUCGUAGAUAUUAGGAAGAACACCAGUGGCGAAGGCGGCUCACUGGCCCGGUACUGACGCUGAGGCGCGAAAGCAUGGGGAGCAAACAGG
rnacentral:rRNA from 1 species